rnacentral:lncRNA from 1 species
AGCUACAUCCGUCACCUGACACGGCCCUACCAGGAACAGCCGCGCUCCCGCGGAUUCUGGUGCUGCUCGCGUCCCCGCUCCCCUAUUCCCCUUAUUUUAUUCCUGGCUCCCCUCGUCGAAAGUCUUCCAUUCUUCAAACUAGAUUAUUUAAAAAUGAAAAAGGAAGAAAGGAAAGCGAGGUCAUCUCAUUGCUCUAUCCGCCAAUCAGGAGGCUGAAUGUCAGUUUUGAACUAAAAGCCGCUCCGCUCCUCUUCUAGAUUUGGAAAACAAGCGAAAUUAAACUAAACCGCUGCACGCCUCUGACGCGACAUCUGGACACGGCGCGGCGCUGGCGCUGCCGGAGCUGUCGACCCGGCCUGGCGCCGGACUAGGACUAUUUGCCACGACAUUUCAAAGGAUUCCAAGAGAGAAUAUUGGUGUCCAUGCUGUGAUGAUUCCUCAGCUCCUCUCAUCUGAUCUCCGUCCUGGCCCCCAUGACUUUCUUUGUGGUAGUUAGGGUGUGGUAUGUGCCACUGAGGCCCACACCUAUUGCUUGUCCCUUUUGAUGAGAAGAAUAAGCCUCAUUCUGAUUCAACAGCAGAGAUCAAAGAAAAGACUUCUGUUUUCUGGCCACCAGAUAUAUGUUAUCUGUGCUUAAAGAAUUGAAAAACACACAUCAAAGGAGAAUUUUCUUGGAAAGAGAGGGUUCAAGCAUCACUGUUAGGUGUGCUGGAAUCCUUUCCCGAGUCAGUACUGCUUUCUAGAAGAAAACCGGGGAGAUCUAUUUGGAAUGUAUCUAACUCCAAAGAAACCAUCAGAGGUAACAGUAGAGACGGGGUUUCACCAUGUUGGCCAGACUGGUCUUGAACUCUCGACCUCGUGAUUCGCCCGCCUCGGCCUCCCAAAGUGCUGGGAUUACAGGUGUGAGACACCACACCCGGCGGAUAGAGAGAAUUUUGACAGAUUGGCUUCUCUCACAUGGCAAGAAACAUUGCUGCUAGCACUUCCCGAGUUCUACGUUCUACAACAUCCACCACUGCUAUGUCUCACAGUCCAGACUUGGAGUACAAGUAAUAAGAAGAAUAAAACUUAAUCCCUUAAGUAGAUUCACCAUAAGUUAGCUCAGAGCAAUUCCAGUGCAAGUAUGGUCUGUGAUCCAGUAGUAUCUUACAGACAGCAAGUUGAACAUUGUGGGAUGCAUGAGCUAUUGAGGCCUUUGCAGCUUUCUGCUACAUGGAGGCUAGGGCCAGAGUCAAGAUUUAUGCUUUGCAGCACACUGGUCAGCUGUUUUUGCAAAUCAGAUUAAAUGAUUUUUAAAUGAGGCUGAGAGCAUGGGAGAUACUAAUGUGUGUUUCCUUGUGAGCUACUGCAUAAGUUAGGAAAUUGAAAUACAGAAAGAUGAAAAGUGAUUUGCCCAAGCAUAUAGAUCAAAGCUGUGGCAGAACCAGGACUGGAACCUAUAUCUCUCUACUAAUGGUUUUUUUAAAAAAAUAACCUUGUUUCAAAAAUAUUAAAAAGUCACAAGAAAGGUAAACAUGUGGAUAAACAAAAUGAAGAAAAUAAAAAUUAUCCAGUAAUAACAUA